rnacentral:rRNA from 1 species
AACAAACGCUGGCGGCGUGCCUAAUACAUACAAGUCGAACGGGGAAAGCUUUCGGGUGAGUACUAGUGGCGCACGGGUGAGUAACGCGUGGAUAAUCUGCCUUAGAGUGGGGGAUAACUAGUCGAAAGAUUAGCUAAUACCGCAUAAGACCACAAGAACUGCGGUUCAAGAGGUCAAAGGUUUUUCGCUCUAAGAUGAGUCCGCGUAAGAUUAGCUAGUUAGUGAGGUAACGGCUCACCAAGGCAACGAUCUUUAACUGGUCUGAGAGGAUGAUCAGUCAAACUGGAACGGAGACACGGUCCAGACUCCUACGGGAGGCAGCAGUAGGGAAUAUUGCACAAUGGAGGAAACUCUGAUGCAGCGACGCCGCGUGAGUGAUGAAGGCCUUCGGGUCGUAAAGCUCUGUCGCAGGGGAAUAACACAAUGAAUGUACCCUGUAAGAAAGGAUCGGCUAACUUCGUGCCAGCAGCCGCCGUAAGAC